UUUUUUUUUUUUUCAACCCUCCGCUCAUGAGGUUCAUAGGCUAGCUACGUUGACAGUACAGGCUAUUAUAAAUCUGGACAGCAAUGAGUGCGGCUAUAGGCGAACCGGCUAUUGUCUCCCGGAGUCAAACAAUACCAGCCGACAUCUCUGGACAGAUGUUGGAUCUUGACGAAGACGAUGACUUAGAAGUGUUCAGCAAGGAUGUCACUGUGACAGAGGGAAGGGCCAUCAACCCAUCCAUGCAGACUUCACCAGGCUCCAUGGUCAACCAGUACAAGUUUGAGGAGGAGGAGGAAGAGGAGGGGCUUGACACAAAAGACCUCUUUAUCACCGUGGAUAACCCAGAGAGUCAUGUGACCGCCGUAGAGACGUUCAUCACCUACAGAGUUCUGACAAAGACUACCCGCAGCGAGUUUGACUCCAGCGAGUAUGAAGUUCGCAGGCGAUACCAAGACUUCCUGUGGCUCAAAAGCAAACUCGAAGAAACCCAUCCCACACUCAUUGUUCAUCCGCUUCCGGAGAAGUUUGUGAUGAAGGGGAUGGUGGAGAGGUUCAACAAUGACUUCAUCGACACACGGAGGAAGGCUCUCCACAAGUUCCUGAACCGUGUGUCCGACCACCCUAUCCUGUCCUGCAGCGACGACUUCAAAGUCUUCCUCACGGCACAGGCCUGGGAGCUGACGUCCCAUAAGAAGCAGGGUCCCGGGUUCCUAAGCAGGAUGGGGGACACGGUAAGGGCGCUGUCCAACUCCGUCAGGGGCGUGAAGAACCGACCGGAGGAGUUCACGGCCAUGCAGGAGUACGUGGAGGCCUUCAGCCAGAAGAUCUCCUCCCUGGACAAGGUCACUCAGAGGAUCGCCAAAGAACAGAAGGAGUACCUGGAGGAGCUGAAGGAAUGCGCCCCCACCUACACCCUGUGGUCCAGCUCGGAGGAGGAGCAGCUAGCCGAACCCCUGAAGGGUGUGGCCGGCUGUCUGGAGCGCUGCUGUCAGGAGACGGACCAGCAGGUCCACCACCUCUCCGAGGUCCUAGUGCCCACCCUGCACGAGUAUGUGCUGUGCUCCGAAGGUCUCAAGGCCGUUCUGAGGAGAAGAGACCACAUCCAGGCCGAGUUCGAAGCUAAAAGCGAGGCCCUGGCCACCAAGAAAGUGGACAGAGAAGCAGAGAGUGGCGACCAGGGGACAGUGUGGGGCAGUCUGCUGGGCAGGAACCCAGAGCAGGUCCGCCUGCAGAGACAGGAGAGGCUGGGAGGGGAGAUCGAUCAGUUUAUCCAGAAGAUGGCAGUGAUGCUGCGGUCAGGAGACUCAUCCAAACAGUAAAGCUAGGCGGUCUUACAUUAUUCAUUAAUGAGUGUCAUUCGUAGAACUUUCCCUGAAGUCUAACAUGUUAACUUAUUAUGGAAAGCUUUCUUUGUUGUUGGAACAAUGUCUGUGUGUGUGUGUGUGUGUGUGUUUCAAAUGAUGUGUCCCCUUGUUGUAGUAGUCAGUGACAGCCAGCAGUCACACAGCAAAGCCCCAAGCCCAGCCAGCCCAGUUCCACUCUACAGAGUCUGAUAAUCAGCCCCCACACACAAACACACACACUUAUAGACAUUAACAUGCACACAAACUACAGCCACAAACAACCCAUGUGUGCUUUCACAUAAACAUCCAAUCAAACAAGUAUAUACACACAAACGGCCCAAUCACACAAACACACAUUAUCGAGCACACAAACUGUGUGAACACACGCACACACGCGCGCACACACCAACUUCCUGAGUCCCGCAUCGAUUGCCACCAACUUAGGAUGAGACUGGUGGUGCCAACAACAGCCGACCCUCAUCAGCCUGCCUGUCAAUACUCCCAAUCUCCUACCCAGCCUUGCAUAUCUGAGCAACUCUAAUCUGACACCACCACCUCCCUAAGGAAAGCAGUGGAGCCGUACUUUCUCUCUUUCUCUCUUUCUUUCUUUCUCUCUCUUUCUCACUCUUUUUUUGUUGUUGCUCUCUUUCUCUGGUCUCUUUCUUUCUCACUGUCUCCCUCUCUUUCUCUCUUUCUUUCUCUGUCUCUCUCUCGCUCUCUCUCUGUCCUCCAUUGUAUCUCGGGUCUAAUUCAUCAUUCCUUCCUUUAGCUUGGUGAAGAGAUAGGCUUGUUGUUGAGGGCUGUUGGAGUCAAACACCCCAGUGGGAUCAGUUUAAAUGACACACACACACACACACUCCCGCUCGCGCGCGCACACACACACACAGACUCUAAUACAUGUCUCUGCCUGCUUAGAUAGCUAUCGUCUUGAUGAGGGGCUUGGAUCAAUACCACUGCAGUAACAGCAAGGCAUAGGAAGACCCCGCGACUGAAGGAGGAGCUCGAUAGGCUGGAGGACCGGGGGGAGUGGGCCAACAACGCCCUGAAGGGGGACUGGUCUCGCUGGAAGAGGAGCAUGAGGGCCGACCUCAAAUCCGCCUUCCUCUCCACCGCCGAGAA